GAUGAACGCUAGCGGCAGGCCUAACACAUGCAAGUCGAGGGAGAAGCCCUUUCGGGGGCAGAAACCGGCGCACGGGUGCGUAACGCGUAUGCAACCUACCUUUCACAGGGGGAUAGCCCGAAGAAAUUUGGAUUAAUACCCCAUAAUAUUAUUGAAUGGCAUCAUUUGAUAAUUAAAACUGCGGUGGUGAAAGAUGGGCAUGCGUCCUAUUAGCUAGUUGGAGUGGUAACGGCACCCCAAGGCUACGAUAGGUAGGGGUCCUGAGAGGGAGAUCCCCCACACUGGUACUGAGACAGGGACCAGACUCCUACGGGAGGCAGCAGUGAGGAAUAUUGGUCAAUGGUCGGAAGACUGAACCAGCCAUGCCGCGUGCAGGAAGAAUGCCUUAUGGGUUGUAAACUGCUUUUAUAUGGGAAGAAUAAGGCGUACGUGUACGUUGAUGACGGUACCAUAUGAAUAAGCUUCGCA
rnacentral:rRNA from 1 species